GAUGAACGCUGGCGGCGUGCCUAAUACAUGCAAGUCGAGCGAACAGACGAGGAGUUUGCUCCUCUGACGUUAGCGGCGGACGGGUGAGUAACACGUGGAUAACCUACCUAUAAGACUGGGAUAACUUCGAGACACCGGAGCUAAUACCGGAUAAUAUAUUGAACCGCAUGGUUCAAUAGUGAAAGACGGUUUUGCUGUCACUUAUAGAUGGAUCCGCGCCGCAUUAGCUAGUUGGUAAGGUAACGGCUUACCAAGGCAACGAUGCGUAGCCGACCUGAGAGGGUGAUCGGCCACACUGGAACUGAGACACGGUCCAGACUCCUACGGGAGGCAGCAGUAGGGAAUCUUCGGCAAUGGGCGAAAGCCUGACGGAGCAACGCCGCGUGAGUGAUGAAGGUCUUCGGAUCGUAAAGCUCUGUUGUUAGGGAAGAACAAAUGUGUAAGUAACUAUGCACGUCUUGACGGUACCUGAUCAGAAAGCCACGGCUAACUACGUG
rnacentral:rRNA from 1 species